rnacentral:lncRNA from 1 species
UUUGAGGGCAUCUGGGGGCAUCUGGGGAGUGAAGCAGCGGAUGGACGAUCUCUCUCUCUCUCUCUCUCUCUCUCUCUCUCUCUCUCUCUCUCUCUUUCUUUCUCUUUCUUUUAAACAAACAGAUCCUCAGGGGUGCAAAGCCUCGAGGAAAAGUCGAUACGUGAGACUUGUUUAUGCCUGUGAGGGUCGCCGCGCGGCCGAGCGGCUCCCGCUGGUGCCGGCCGGCUGUGUCCGGUCAGCCCGCAGUGACCGGCCUCCCCGUGUCCGCCCUCGGGGUCGUGCCGGGAAGUCCCCGGCGGAGAGCCGCCGCCUGCUGUUUUCUGUGACUUUAGAAAAGCGAAGUUCAGUCUGUGGAGGCCACGCGCCCGCCGGGAGUCCCCGCGCCCGGUCUGCCCGCCGGCGGCUCCGAGCGUCCGUCCGAGCGUUUCCAUGCCAGUUCGUCGUCGUCUUCUUUCUUUUUUCAGAUUUUGAAAGCGUGAGAGAGGUCUUCCAUCACUGGUUCGCUUCCCAGAUGGCCACAGUGGCCAGGGCCGUGCCAGGCUGCAGCCCGGAUCCGGGACCUCUCGCAGGUCUCCCGCGUGGGCGCGGGGACCAGCACGUGGGCCGUCCUCUGCCAUUUCCCAGGGCGUUAGCAGGGAUGUGGGCUGGACGUGGAGCCACCGGCCGAGCCAGCACCCGCAUGGACCGCAGUGGGCGGCUUGACCCUCCGAGGCGCAUGGCCCCGCUUUCUGUUUGACAUUCAGAGGCCUGGAUGGUUAGGACAUCAACAUAGGAAUUUGCUGUUGGGCACAACUCAGCCAGUAAUGUUCCAUGAAAGAAACCAUCUAAAAGGAAAAAAAGACCAAAAGAAGACUUCUAAGAGGGGAAGAGAUCUACCUUCUGACAUUAGCUACAAGUUUGUAAGUUCUCUUUCUCUUUCAUGCAAGGCUCCACCCCAAGUCACACUGUUAUACACCCUGGUGGGAAGUGGGCUAAAAGAGGGAGCUACUCACCAGCCUGUGACUUGAGUAUGACUCUGUUACAGGUGAGGAUGCUCCCUGACCCAUUUAUUUCUUAGAAAGCAAGAAUGUGAGCAUCAUUCAUCAAGCAAAUAUAGAUUAGAUGCCUGCUACAUACCCAGCCCUUCUCCAUAAAAAAUGCUUGCCCUAAUGGAACUUGCCUUCUGGUGGCAGAAGGCAGAAAUAAACAAUAAACAUAAUAACCA